rnacentral:rRNA from 1 species
GAUGAACGCUAGCUACAGGCUUAACACAUGCAAGUCGAGGGGCAGCAUGAACUUAGCUUGCUAAGUUUGAUGGCGACCGGCGCACGGGUGAGUAACACGUAUCCAACCUGCCGAUGACUCGGGGAUAGCCUUUCGAAAGAAAGAUUAAUACCCGAUGGCAUAGUUCUUCCGCAUGGUAGAACUAUUAAAGAAUUUCGGUCAUCGAUGGGGAUGCGUUCCAUUAGGUUGUUGGCGGGGUAACGGCCCACCAAGCCUUCGAUGGAUAGGGGUUCUGAGAGGAAGGUCCCCCACAUUGGAACUGAGACACGGUCCAAACUCCUACGGGAGGCAGCAGUGAGGAAUAUUGGUCAAUGGACGAGAGUCUGAACCAGCCAAGUAGCGUGAAGGAUGACUGCCCUAUGGGUUGUAAACUUCUUUUAUACGGGAAUAAAGUGAGGCACGUGUGCCUUUUUGUAUGUACCGUAUGAAUAAGGAUCGGCUAACUCCGUGCCAGCAGCCGCGGUAAUACGGAGGAUCCGAGCGUUAUCCGGAUUUAUUGGGUUUAAAGGGAGCGUAGGCGGACGCUUAAGUCAGUUGUGAAAGUUUGCGGCUCAACCGUAAAAUUGCAGUUGAUACUGGGUGUCUUGAGUACAGUAGAGGCAGGCGGAAUUCGUGGUGUAGCGGUGAAAUGCUUAGAUAUCACGAAGAACUCCGAUUGCGAAGGCAGCCUGCUGGACUGUAACUGACGCUGAUGCUCGAAAGUGUGGGUAUCAAACCAGG